rnacentral:rRNA from 1 species
UACGUAUGGUGCAAGCGUUAUCCGGAUUUACUGGGUGUAAAGGGUGCGUAGGUGGCAUGGUAAGUCAGAAGUGAAAACUAGGGGCUCAACCCCUAGACUGCUUUUGAAACUAUCAGGCUAGAGUACAGGAGAGGCAAGUGGAAUUCCUAGUGUAGCGGUGAAAUGCGUAGAUAUUAGGAGGAACACCAGUGGCGAAGGCGGCUUGCUGGACAAUCACUGACACUGAGGCUCGAAAGCGUGGGGAGCAAACAGG